CUGAUAUCACAUAACCAGGAAUUGAGUGCUUGGUAUCUGAUGCCAAUUUCUGCACUGCAUGAUCUUCUCAUUGAUACUAGAGUGAAUGCAACAUAGAUAAUGAAAGCUGAGAGCACCCUCUGUCUUUGUAAGCAUCUGUUUGUGUGCUAUGUGGUCAGGAGAAGAACAAGGAUCGAGAGCGGAGUGUCGAGAUCCGAUGAACUUGACCUUAUAGUGACUGAGCAUCUGAGACGUGGAAGAAAUACUGUUAUUACAACACCAAAUUGCAGUUGAAGUAACAGCCUGGGGAAAAGCAACAACAAACCACUUCACUCCUCUGGGUGGAAACAUGCAAUUGUACCAAGAAGGACAAGGAAAAAACUUCUCAUACAUAGAGAAAGAAGUUGGAAUAAGGGAGUGAAAGCAGACAGGCUACUUGGGCAUCUGACGCAAGAGAUGUGAGAAAGUAGCUCAG
rnacentral:lncRNA from 1 species